GACGAACCGUGCGAACGUUGUUCGGAAUCACUGGGCUUAAAGGGCGCGUAGCGGACCGCCAAGUCGGGGGUGAAAUCUUUCGGCCCAACCGGAAAAGCGCUUCCGAUACUGGCGGCCUCGAGGGAGGUAGGGGUCGGCGGAACUGGUGGUGGAGCGGUGAAAUGCGUAGAUAUCAGCUAGGAACGCCGGGUGGCGAAACGGCCGACUGGACCUCUUCUGAC
rnacentral:rRNA from 1 species